rnacentral:rRNA from 1 species
UACGGGGGGGGCAAGCGUUGUUCGGAAUUACUGGGCGUAAAGGGCUCGUAGGCGGCCAACUAAGUCAGACGUGAAAUCCCUCAGCUUAACUGGGGAACUGCGUCUGAUACUGGAUGGCUUGAGUUUGGGAGAGGGAUGCGGAAUUCCAGGUGUAGCGGUGAAAUGCUUAGAUAUGACAUAGAACACCAAUUGCGAAGGCAGCUUACUACACAGUUAUUGACACUGAGGCACGAAAGCGUGGGGAUCAAACAGG